rnacentral:rRNA from 1 species
GGUUGCGAUCAUACCAGCACUAAUGCACCGGAUCCCAUCAGAACUCCGCAGUUUAAGCGUUGCUUGGGCGAGAGUAGUACUAGGAUGGGUGACUCCCUGGGAAGACCUGGUGUUGCAACCC